CCUACGGGUGGCUGCAGUGAGGAAUAUUGGUCAAUGGGCGAGAGCCUGAACCAGCCAAGUCGCGUGAGGGAGUACUGCCCUAUGGGUUGUAAACCUCUUUUGUCGGGGAGCAAAAGCCGGACGUGUCCGGCUGUGAGAGUACCCGAAGAAAAAGCAUCGGCUAACUCCGUGCCAGCAGCCGCGGUAAUACGGAGGAUGCGAGCGUUAUCCGGAUUUAUUGGGUUUAAAGGGGGCGCAGGCGGAUUUUUAAGUCAGCGGUAAAAUCGUGGGGCUCAACCCCAUCCAGCCGUUGAAACUGGAAGACUUGAGUGUGUUUGAGGUAGGCGGAAUGCGUGGUGUAGCGGUGAAAUGCAUAGAUAUCACGCAGAACUCCGAUUGCGAAGGCAGCUUACUAAGCCAUAACUGACACUGAAGCACGAAAGCGUGGGGAUCAAACAGGAUUAGAUACCCCAGUAGUC
rnacentral:rRNA from 1 species